ACAGAGCAGGCUGCCUUUGAACUCACAGAGAUCCACCUGCCCCUGCCUCCGGAGUACUGGAGUUAAAAGUAUGUACCACCCCUGCUAGCUGAACUUGCACUUUCUGGUCCAACCAGCUAGAAUGCUCUCACUUCCGUGAGUACUCUCCCAUUUGGUCUUUAGACAAGGAAAGGAGACAUGCUUUCUAUCCACCAUUGCCGGGGUCAUUGCAUCCUUGGUCACUUACUAACCCCACUCUCAUCCCAACAGACUCAUCCGACCCACUUCUUGUUACUUCAUGGCUGGCGAGUAGCCAGGCUGACCAAUUGUAGGACUUUGGAACUCAAGUGUCCAGUGUUGAGCCACUCCGCCCCUCAGCUAGUGGAAGAGAAAAGAGACUCUCACAAUGGGGUUAUAUGACUAACCAGAAAGACCGAGAUCCAGUUUCUAGUCCUCAGGGACACCCCAUCUAUACCAUCAACUUGGUGUCACCAAGAGGCUCUUUCUAAAACCUGUGUCGGAUGAAUCAAAGGCUUAAAGACAGCCCAGGAUUCGGAGAGGGAUGAUGGAUGGAGAUGGGAGGAGACUAAAAAUCUCCCAUUUCCUAAUGGACAAGUCAGACGCUGAAAGCUGGAAGGAAUUGAAUCAAGGUCCUGGUUCUCCACUGCCCCCAGGUCUAGCCUGGCUUGGAAUUUACUAUGUACUUGGGGCUAGCCUUGAAGUCCUGGCAGUCUUGAGUGUUGGGAUGGCAGAUGGAGAAUUGUGCUAUUUGGAAAGUCCGUGUGACAGCGUGGUCGCAUGCGCCCAGCACUUGAAAGCUUGAGAUGGGAGGAUGUUGUCUUUGAGGCCAGCCUGGGCUACAGUACGAGACUGUCUCAACAACUGAAACAGAACAAAAGAAUUCAAACAAACAAAAUCAGAAACAAAAUUGGGGCUUAUGGUCCUCUUUUUUUUUUUUUUGAGGAAACACCAGUAUUUUGCACUGAGGACAUAGUCAUUUAUACUCCACUUACACCAUAUGCAGCCUCUGGGGAUCCUUGCCAGCAGCACUUCAUUUCUUAUGUAAAACCUUCUUAGACACAGGGUCUCGCGCAUUCCAGUUAACCCUACAUUUAUGCUAUAGCUGGGGAUGACCUUGGAUUUCUGAUCCUUCUGCUUCCAACAUCCAAAGCCUGGCAUCACAGACUUUGUAAUGACCAUGCCUGGUUUGGGAGGUGUGUAGGCUGGGCAAGCAUCUACCAACUGGGCAAGCAUCUACCAACUGAAUUACAUCCCCAGCCCUAUUUCUUUUUUAUUUCUCUCGCCCUCCCUCCUUCCUUCUCGCCUACCUUUAGUGUAUGUGCAUGAUGUGUGUAUGGAGCAUCCGUGUGCCUGUGCAUGUAUUUGCAAAGGUCAGAAGAGGAUGUUAUGUGCUCUGUUCUGUUGUUCCCUUGAGACAGGAUCGCUCACCAAAGCUGUUGCUAGGGUGGUGCCAGCAACCCCCAAAGAUCUUCCUCUUUCCACCUCCCUCCCAGAACUGGGGUUGCAGGUGUGAAACUAUGUCUAGUUGUUUUAUGUGGGUCAUGACAACUUGUUUUCUCUGAACCAUCUCCCCAAUACCUCCCUGUCUCGUCUUGAAAAAACUGUAACCAUGCCAGUGGCUGGGAGGUGGAAUCUCUUUGUGAGUUUUUAUGCUUUUAAAAAUAAUUUUAUUUAUUUAUUAUAUGUGUGUAGGGGUGAGUGUGGGUUCUUGUUCUGAGGUCAACGGACAGCUUUGUAAAGUUACUUCUCUCUUUCCACCUUCAUGCAGGCUCUGGGGAUUGAACUCAAGUCAUCAGCCUUGCACACACACACCUUUACCCACUGAGCCCUAUCACCAGCUCUCUCCUUACAGUUUUGAUUGGCAUUUUAUAAAUAGCUAAUUAUGCUAAGCAUCCUUUCGUGUGUUCGUUGACCAUUUAUGAAUGAUCUUUUGAGAAAUGACUAUUUAAGAUUCUGGUCCAGUCAGGGGCGGUGGUGCAUGCCUUUAGUCCCAGCACUUAGGAGUUAGAGGCAGGCAGAUCUCUGUGAGUUCUAGGCCA
rnacentral:sRNA from 1 species